UCUUGAACGGGCUUGAUUAUGUUG
rnacentral:siRNA from 1 species